rnacentral:rRNA from 1 species
GUAGUUUGAUCUUGGCUCAGGAUGAACGCUGGCGGCGUGCUUAACACAUGCAAGUCGAACGGGGUCACCAUUUUGAAGCGAUUAGCUUGCUAAGAGUGGAAAUGUUGGCGGCUUAGUGGCGGACGGGUGAGUAACGCGUGGGUAACCUGCCAUAUACAGGGGAUAACACUUAGAAAUAGGUGCUAAUACCGCAUAAGCGCACGGAGCUGCAUGGCUCAGUGUGAAAACUCCGGUGGUAUAUGAUGGACCCGCGUCUGAUUAGCUUG